rnacentral:pre_miRNA from 1 species
UUUUUACUCCCUCCGUUCGGAAUUACUUGUCUCGGAAAUGGAUGUAUUUAGAACUAAAAUACAUCUAGAUACAUCCAUUUCUGCGACAAGUAAUUCCGAACGGAUGGAGUACUAA